UGGCAUCACACAAAAUUUUUUACUAAAUUUGAAAUUCCCUGUAGAUACUCUAUUUAGUGAAUUACUAUUUUGAGUGGUAGGAAUACAAACUUGUAUUCCAAACACUAUAACGUCCCUGUCCCUAUUUUUAUUCAGGUCCUCUCCUUCUACGUGUGUAUUAAAAAAAAAAAAAGUUUCACAUACCUAUUUCCAGCACUGUGGCUCAUGCUUAAAAAACCCGCAAUCUUUUAC